UACGAAGGGGGCGAGCGUUGUUCGGAUUUACUGGGCGUAAAGGGCGCGUAGGCGGCGGGCCAAGUCGAGUGUGAAAGCCCCGGGCUCAACCUGGGAGGUGCGCUCGAGACUGGUUUGCUGGAGUUCGGGAGAGGAGCGUGGAAUUCCCAGUGUAGAGGUGAAAUUCGUAGAUAUUGGGAAGAACACCGGUGGCGAAGGCGGCGCUCUGGACCGAGACUGACGCUGAGGCGCGAAGGCGUGGGGAGCAA
rnacentral:rRNA from 1 species